rnacentral:misc_RNA from 1 species
CUUGNGCGAGAGUAGUACUAGGAUGGGUGACCCCCUGGGAAGUCCUCGUGUUGCACCCCCGCCAUACUUUUGCAUCUUCGUUGCCUUUUUGAAAUGAAACGCGCGUACGAGAGAACGUGGAUCAGUACACGCGCACGCGCGACGUAAAGCUCCGAAGUACUAGGAUGGUCCUAACGGUUGGGAAUAUAGGAGUAAAAAGGGAGAACCCUANCGGGUGCNAU